AGGGGGACCUUCGGGCCUCUCGCGUCAGGAUAUGCCCAGGUGGGAUUAGCUAGUUGGUGAGGUAAUGGCUCACCAAGGCGACGAUCCCUAGCUGGUCUGAGAGGAUGAUCAGCCACACUGGAACUGAGACACGGUCCAGACUCCUACGGGAGGCAGCAGUGGGGAAUAUUGCACAAUGGGCGCAAGCCUGAUGCAGCCAUGCCGCGUGUGUGAAGAAGGCCUUCGGGUUGUAAAGCACUUUCAGUAGGGAGGAAGGU
rnacentral:rRNA from 1 species